CUGCGGUCCCUGACCCUCAGUGAACCCCUUUCUUCCUUGGACUUUGGAGGCCACAGCUGCGCAGUCAACCAUCAGUCAUGUGGAAUCUGGAAAGGAAAAGAAACUUCUGAAGGCAACCUGGCUAUACAUGUAUGUGACAACAUCCCUCACGACCUUGUCCAUGAGACUACUUAAUCGGACUGCAUGUUUGAGCAUUACCAUAUAUGAGAGAGAAAGAAAUAGAAAAUAUAUAAAAAUCUAUGGCACUUGGGACUCAGCUCUUCAAGUACGAACCCAGCUGAGCCGUGCUGGCACGAAUAAAGUUGCUUCCUGGAAAGAAAA